rnacentral:rRNA from 1 species
UGCUGGAGUACGGCAGAGGGGGAUGGAAUUCCUGGUGUAGCAGUGAAAUGCGUAGAGAUCAGGAGGAACACCGAUGGCGAAGGCAAGCCCCUGGGCUGGUACUGACGCUCAUGCACGAAAGCGUGGGGAGCAAACAGGAUUAGAUACCCUGGUAGUCCACGCCCUAAACGAUGUCAAUUAGUUGUUGGUUCUUUAUUGAAUCAGUAACGUAGCUAACGCGUGAAAUUGACCGCCUGGGGAGUACGGCCGCAAGAUUAAAACUCAAAGGAAUUGACGGGGACCCGCACAAGCGGUGGAUGAUGUGGAUUAAUUCGAUGCAACGCGAAAAACCUUACCUACCCUUGACAUGUUCGGAAUUCUGCAGAGAUGCGGAAGUGCUCGAAAGAGAACCGGAACACAGGUGCUGCAUGGCUGUCGUCGGCUCGUGUCGUGAGAUGUUGGGUUAAGUCCCGCAACGAGCGCAACCCUUGUCAUUAGUUGCUACAUUUAGUUGGGCACUCUAAUGAGACUGCCGGUGACAAACCGGAGGAAGGUGGGGAUGACGUCAAGUCCUCAUGGCCCUUAUAGGUGGGGCUACACACGUCAUACAAUGGCUGGUACAAAGGGUUGCCAACCCGCGAGGGGGAGCUAAUCCCAUAAAACCAGUCGUAGUCCGGAUCGCAGUCUGCAACUCGACUGCGUGAAGUCGGAAUCGCUAGUAAUCGUGGAUCAGAAUGUCACGGUGAAUACGUUCCCGGGUCUUGUACACACCGCCCGUC